UGUAAGCCUUAGUGUAAGGCUUGAUAAAUCAUUCCGGGCCAAGCAUGGUUGAUAUGCUUGAAGGGGGAUGUUGUUCUAGAGACAAGCGUUAAACACUCUUCAGAUGAGAUAUGACAAACCAUCUGGUUGAAGUGAUCAUUUGGAGUGAGCAAAGGGGUGCUUGGAUGACUCUGGCGAUUGAAAGGUUUGGCAAGUACCUGGAAACUUGGCCAAAGACGCUCUCGGAAUGGUAAGCUUCGAAGAGCUGCAGGAUGCAAGCGUGUGCUGAAGAAGCAAGAGGACAAUUGCCCACAUAAAUGGCAAAGGGGGUGAUUGUUGGAAUAUUGCCAAUUAUGUGGCUGCCAUUGUCAAAGAAGAUGGCUGCAAUGGUGGGUUGUUGGUGGCAGCCAACAACCAUUGUCUAAUGUCAAAGUUUGGCAAGUUUGGCAGCCACCAUUGUUGACAAAAGAGCUGGAGGAGCUGCCAUGGAUGCCUAUAAAUAGAGGCAUAUGUUAGAGAGCAAAAUGAGAGAGUUAAGAGAAGGAAAGUAGAGCCAAAGAUGUGAGAGAUGUAGGAGAGAGUGGGCUGCCAAGGCAGCCAGCAGUAGCUGCCAUUGCAACACUGAGAAGAGAGAAAUAGAGUGAGGUUGAGAGUUGCCAAAUAAGGGGAUAAUUCCUCCUCCUCUAUUGUUGUAAAUCUUGUACUCUCCCUAUAUAAUGCAAUGGCUUCUCCCGUGGAUGUAGGCGGUUUGCCGAACCACGUUAAAUAUUGUGUCAGUGUGCUUAGCCUCCAAUGGGCAAAUAUCAGAACAUCACCGGUCGGAAUUCCCUACAAGAAGGUGAUCAAUCUGGGCCGGCCUGUGUUGUCCCAAUUGCUUGCUUGGGAUUAUGAUGCUUAUAUUUGAUUUUGGAUGGUUGCGGUAAUAUGAGUAACACUAGUUUCUAAUGGGGUUGGUUUGGGGAAAGUUACACUAUGGUAUACUAAGUUUUAAUUCUGUUCAUUUUGAUACAUGGACAUGUUAAGGCUGUGCCUUAACAAACAAGCAAUUUUAGAGAAGAAAUUCAGAAGAAGAAGAAGAAGAGAUGUUUUAUCAUUCAAAUACUUGCCUUCCAUUCUUUACAACAGCUUAUAUACACCAAGAUUCUAAUUGACUUAACCACAGCAACUAUACUAACUAUCAUCCUCACGUGUAUACUUCUCUGCAGUUGCUUUCCACCCUUUAUUCUCCUUAUUAUUCACAUGCUUAGCCCUUUAUUUAUCACAUAUCAAAUACUUCAUUGAUGAUGUAAGCUGAUCAUAACAAUACUUUUAUCUUCAAUAGUUUCUUAUCCUCAAGAAUCUAUAUUGAAUUCUGGAAAUCGUUUUGCCAAUUCUUCCAGCUCUUCCUAUGGCUCCUCUUGGAAUAUAUUUGACCACUGUACCAGACUCAUUAUUAUUGUCUUGUUACCUUUCUUCAUCAAUUUUCGAUCUAGGAUUGCUAUUGGACUAAAUUUGAUUCUGCCCUCUUCAUCAGUCAUGGGAUAGAUUAUAGGCGACCCCUCCAACCUUUUGCAUGAUCUUAUAGGGACCAUAAAACCUCGGGUUCCGCUUCUCAUUCUUCCUUAGUGCCAUACUCAACUGCUUACAAGGUUGAAGCUUUAAGCAGACCAAAUCACCAACUUGAAACACCUUUUCAGUUCUGCCCUUAUCAGCCAUUUACUUCAUUCUGUUUCUAGCCUUUUCUAAUUAUGACUGCAACCAUCUAUACAUGUUCACCCUCCUUCGAAUAACUUCAUUCAUAGCUGCUACUGGAGUUGGUGCAGACGGAGAUACCUCUAAGGACAAUCAAAAUCACAGAUUUGAAAGACAAGUCUGGAGAGCCAGAGUUGUUAUUGGGAAGCCAUUAUAGUAAUCGCCUCCGUCGGAGCAGCAUUGGAAUCAUUCACUGCAUAGAGCUUCAACCACGAAGCGUUUUACAACUCCAGGACAGGGGUCACCAAGUUUAGCUGCUGAUAUAGGAAUUGAACAUCUUUCAUGGCCAAUGCAAGCCUGUAAUUAUCAUUCAAACGUGUAAUAGAUGAAGAGAAGCAGGAGGAAGGUGCUAUGAGUAAGAUACAACCAUUGAUGUAGGACAAAUUUAUUUCACAAGUCCAAAAUAGGAAGGUGCUAUGAUUAAUAGUAGAAUAGUAACCAAAUAACCAGCAAUUGCAUGGCUCAACGGAAAUGGACUCUUAACUAAGAAUACGUUGCUAUAGAGAAUUCCAAGAAGGCAUUUGAAGGAAACAGUGACUCAUUAAGCCUCAAUCCUUCUAACCCCCAAAAUAAUAUCCAGAUUUCACAUGAUACGAUAAAUUUGAUUGAAUAAGAGAAUGCGCUUAGCAA